GGGCCCGCACAAGCGGUGGAGCAUGUGGUUUAAUUCGAUGCAACGCGAAGAACCUUACCUGGUCUUGACAUACACAGAAUCUUGUAGAGAUACGAGAGUGCCUUCGGGAAUUGUGAUACAGGUGCUGCAUGGCUGUCGUCAGCUCGUGUCGUGAGAUGUUGGGUUAAGUCCCGCAACGAGCGCAACCCUUGUCCUUAGUUACCAGCACUUCGGGUGGGAACUCUAGAAAGACUGCCGGUGACAAACCGGAGGAAGGUGAGGAUGACGUCAAGUCAGCAUGCCCCUUAUGUCCUGGGCUACACACGUGCUACAAUGGUUGGGACAAAGAGUUGCAAGUUUGCAAGAACAAGCUAAUCUCAUAAACCUAACCUAAGUUCAGAUUGUAGGCUGCAACUCGCCUACAUGAAGUUGGAAUCGCUAGUAAUCG
rnacentral:rRNA from 1 species